rnacentral:snRNA from 1 species
GUGCUUCCUUCAGCAGCACAUAUACUAAAAUUGGUACAAUACAGAGAUGUUUAGUAUGGCCCCGGUGUGAGGAUGACAUACAAAUUUGUCAAAUUCAUUAAGCAUUCCAUAUUUUU